GAUGAACGCUGGCGGUAUGCUUAACACAUGCAAGUCGAACGGUGUCUUCGGACACAGUGGCGGACGGGUGAGUAACGCGUGAGAAUCUAGCUUCAGGUCGGGGACAACCACUGGAAACGGUGGCUAAUACCGGAUGUGCCGAGAGGUGAAAGGCUUGCUGCCUGAGGAUGAGCUCGCGUCUGAUUAGCUAGUUGGUGGGGUAAGAGCCUACCAAGGCGACGAUCAGUAGCUGGUCUGAGAGGAUGAUCAGCCACACUGGGACUGAGACACGGCCCAGACUCCUACGGGAGGCAGCAGUGGGGAAUUUUCCGCAAUGGGCGAAAGCCUGACGGAGCAAUACCGCGUGAGGGAGGAAGGCUCUUGGGUUGUAAACCUCUUUUCUCAGGGAAGAAUUCAAUGACGGUACCUGAGGAAUAAGCAUCGGCUAACUCCGUGCCAGCAGCCGCGGUAAUAC
rnacentral:rRNA from 1 species